GAUGAAUGCUGGCUGUAUGGAUAAGUCAUGCAAGUCGAACGGUCCGCAAGGACAGUGGCAGACGAGGUAGUAACACGUAGGUACGUACUCCAAAGUCGGGCAUAGCCAACCGAAAGGUUGGGUAAUUCCCGAUGGUCCCGCAAGGGUAAAGAUUUAUCGCUUUGGAAGCGGCCUGCGUAGUAUCAGCUUGUUGGUAAGGU
rnacentral:rRNA from 1 species